GGAGGUGGCCGCCCCUGGCGGCGGGUUUGUUUAUCCCGGGGAAGAAGUUUAGGAGCGGGAGAUAGGGAAGGAGGGCGGGUGGGGAGGAGGGAUGCGGUUCGGCGGAGGCGGCCGCCACAGGGACUUGCCGCCAUCACCCCUGCUGCCACCACCGCAGCCUCGGNCUCCCAGGGCCGACACGGCCGCCGCCUCAGCGGGAGAGGAGUCUCCACCGGGACUGACCGCUGCCGCCCAGCACGUCCAGGUAAGGUACUCAACUGUGUGGGGUACUACAUAAAUCCUGAAAGACUACAAUAAAGUGGUGAUGUCUCGGGAACCCACCCCACCUCUACCUGGAGAUAUGUCUACUGGUCCCAUAGCAGAAAGCUGGUGUUACACACAGGUUAAAGUAGUAAAAUUUUCCUAUAUGUGGACCAUUAAUAACUUCAGUUUUUGUCGAGAGGAAAUGGGUGAAGUGUUAAAAAGUUCAACAUUUUCAUCUGGCCCAAGUGACAAAAUGAAAUGGUGCCUGAGGGUAAACCCAAAGGGAUUAGAUGAUGAAAGUAAAGACUACUUGUCCUUAUAUUUGCUUUUAGUCAGCUGCCCCAAAAGUGAAGUUCGAGCAAAAUUCAAAUUUUCCCUUCUGAAUGCUAAAAGGGAAGAAACAAAAGCAAUGGGUAAGUGAUUUGCAAACUAAGUGAAGACAUUUCUGUAUAACUAC
rnacentral:lncRNA from 1 species